rnacentral:rRNA from 1 species
UACAUGAAGCUGGAAUCGCUAGUAAUCGCGGAUCAGCAUGCCGCGGUGAAUACGUUCCCGGGCCUUGUACACACCGCCCGUCACACCACGAGAGUUUGUAACACCCGAAGUCGGUGGGGUAACCUUUUUGGAGCCAGCCGCCUAAGGUGGGACAGAUGAUUGGGGUGAAGUCGUAACAAGGUAGCCGUAUCGGAAGGUGCGGCUGGAUCACCUCCUUU